UACGUAGGGUGCAAGCGUUGCCCGGAUUUAUUGGGCGUAAAGGGCGCGCAGGCGGCUACGCACGUCCGUUGUGAAAUCGCUCGGCUCAACUGGGCGGGGUCGGCGGAUACGGCGUAGCUGGAGCAAGCUAGGGGGCAAUGGAAUUCCCGGUGUAGUGGUGGAAUGCGUAGAUAUCGUGGAGAACACCCGUGGCGAAGGCGGGCUUCUGGCUAAUGACUGACGCUGAGGUGCGAAAGCUAGGGGAGCGAACGGG
rnacentral:rRNA from 1 species